rnacentral:lncRNA from 1 species
UUUCCACAUACAGCAUUGGAUCUAGAGACAGUCUUGCCCAGGCUGGAGUGCAGUAGUGUGAUCAUUGCUCACUGUAGCCUUGACCUCCUGGCCUCAAGUGAUCCUCCCACUUCAGCCUCCAGAGUAGCUGAGACUAAAGGUACACACCACCACACCCGGCCAAUUUUUGCGUGCCUGUAGCUAGACUUCAGAAUUGCUCAUCUCAGCCUCCAGAGUAGCCGGGAUAAUAGGCAUGCUCCACUAGGUCUUGUAGUGAAUUUACUAUUUUUUUAUAUUUACUACUAUUUUUAUUAUGAAAGUACAUGUAUUACUGUUCAAGUUGCAAGCUACUAUAAAUCAGAUCUGAUAUCUUGAAUCCAUUCUAUUAAAACUUUUACCUAGAAAGAACUUGCAGAAUAUAAACAGUGACAAAGGAAACAAUAUAUAUAUAUAUAUAUCUGGCCGGGCGCAGUGGCUCACACGUGUAAUCUCAGUACUUCGGGAGGCCGAGGGGGGCGGAUCACCUGAGGUCGGGAGGUGGAGACCAGCCUGACCAACAUGGAGAAACUCGGUCUCUACUAAAAAUACACAAUUAGCCAGGCGUGGUGGUGCAUGCCUGUAAUCCCAGCUACUCAGGAGGCUGAGGCAGAAGAAUCACUUGAACCCGGGAGGCGGAGGUUGCAGUGAGCCGAGAUCACACCAUUGCACUCCAGCCUGGGCACAAGAGCGAAACUCGGUCUCAAAAUAAAAAAAUGCUAAAAAAAAAAAAAAAAAAAAAAAAAAAAAAGAUACAAAAAUCAGCCUAGCGUGGUGGCGGGCACCUGUAGUCACAGGUACUCGGGAGGCUGAGGCAGGAGAAUCGCUAGAACCCAGGAGGCAGAGGUUGCAGUGAGCUGAGAUUGCACCACUGCACUCAAGCCUGGGCAACAAGAGCCCAGGAGUCUCUUGGAGCCCAGGAGUGAGAUGGAGUCUCCCUGGCUCACUGCAACUUCCGCCACUGCAACCCCUGCCUCUUGGGUUCAAGCAAUUCUCCUGCCUCAGCCUGCGGAGUAAUUGGGACUACAGGCACGCGUCACCACGCCCAGCUAAUUUUGUAUUUUUAGUAGAGACGAGAUUUCACCAUGUUGGCCAGGCUGGUCUUGAACUCCUCACCUCAGGUGAUCAGCCCAUCUCGGCCUCCCAAAGUGCUGGGAUUACAGGUGUGAGCCACCAUGCCCAGCUGACAAAGGAAAACAUUUAGUGAAG